CUGCCGGUCCGGGAAGGAGGCUGGAGGCUUGAGCAAGCCUGGGGUCGCUGGGCCUCAGGGGAAAUCCUUCCGGCUAGCCGAGGCGCCGCGUCCCGUAGUCCCCCGGGCCAUGCCGGCUCCGCUCGCUCUGAGCUCCUCCAGGGGCACCGGCCGACUCGGGCUCCCGGAGAGCGCCGGGCGUGGAGGGCGGCGCUGCCGCGGUGCGGCGCGGCGGGCCGGCUCCGGGCCGCGUCCCCUCCUGGCUCCUCCCGGCCGCCGCCCGGCACUUGCAACUAACUUCAACCAAGUUUCCUGCGCCGGCGCGCUCGCCUGGCUGCGUGCGCCCGCGUGUCCGCCGCGCCCGGGGCCCCGCUCGCCCGGCUUCUCCGGCCCGAGCCGAGCGGGCGCCGGGCGGAGGUGCUGGAGGAGGGGGUUUAAGCAAAACGCGCCAUCACCUCUAUUCGCAGGUCCGCGCUGGGGCUGCUCCCGCUUCCCCCACUCCCGUAGCCCAGGGGGCCCCUUGCUGGCCCAGGCCGCCACUCCGCCGCUCCCGAGGCGGCAGGAGUCCCGUGCACGGGCUCAGGUUGAGGCGAGCGGAGAGCUAGGAGCGCGCCGCGGAGUCUGCGCACUGUUUGGUGCUGGCAACCCCUGGUGUCAUCCCGGCUUCCCCGGCCCUGGUCGCGGCUCUGGGCUCCUCUGCCCGGAGGAAGGAGGCGCGCAGGAGGAGGAGAGCCUCUCCAGCGAUGGCAGAAGAGGGGACGCGCUCUAGAAAAUGUUGGAGACUUUUCCUAGGAAGAAUGCUCAUUUUCCUUGGAGGUCCAGAUGUUACUGGCAACAGAUGCUGCCCGCAUUUUCUUGCGCUGGUGACGCACCCAGUCAGAGGUAGUGAAGUGAAAAAUAACUCAGGAGGAACUGAGCGUGCUCUUGGCAACCCUUUCGGAAAGGAGCUCGCCCAGGGUGAGACUAGGCAUCUUUGGCUGACUGUUGAGCUCUUUGAAAAAAAUCCGAGUGUUUUGUUUUGUUUCUGUUCUGGUCGACAGAGCCACCUUUACGCUGAUCUCUUUAAGAAGAGAGAAUAUCUUGUUCCCAAAGGAAGACAAGGGAUCAGAAUGAACUAAAUCAUUUUCCUCCAUCCUUUCUGUCCCCACUCCCACACUGGAUUUUCACAGAGCCGGCUCACCAACACAUUUUCCUAGAACCACGGAGUUGGUGAACCACAGCGAAGAAAGUCCAGUAGUGGGGGGACCAAGAGGUGAGCAGAAGAAAGUGACUGAGCAGUAAAGGUGCCGCCUUUACUGGAAGUUAGAGAUGAAGUCUUUGCACCUGGGAACAUUAGCAGCCACAGUGGAAGAACUUUGUGGUUCUGGUCUGAAGCAAGUGUAAUGAAAGAAUUCAUAAGGUUUCAGACCUGCAUAAAAAGGUAAUACAGCCUGUUUGUCCGGUUAAGGAAGAAAUGAGCAAACUGUGACAAAAGCUACCUCAUUUGGGCUCUUGUCACAGUCCUCAGGCUCCCUAGCUCUUGUCCCAUCAGCCCCCCAACGGGGGCAAACCCCAAGUCUGGAGUCCACAGAAAGCCAAGGAGAUGAAAGAGGCCUUGGAUCAGGCACAGCAGGGGCCAACAGCCGCGCAAGUGGCCUUUCACUGGCUCCUGCUACAUUUUCAUCUUUUUGAGAUGUCUGUCCCUUUCUUCUCACCGCUCCUGCCAUACCUGGAAACUGGGACUAGACAAGUCAAUUAGGGAGACACCUUUCCUCAUCCUUAGCAGUGCUGCGGCAGGCUAGCAUUUUCCAAAAGGAGCUUCAGCUAGAUGACAGAGCAAGAAAAACAAAACCAAAACCAGCACACCCUCCCACUCCCCUGCACCCCGCCAAAAAACACCCAAGGGGGGGAAAAGACAAUGCAAAUAAUCCAAGACAGACAACUUCACAAAGUAUUGAUUUCAGAUCCCAAGACAUUCUUCAAAGCAAAGAGAGAAUUACCCCUCUAAGGACGAGAGCUUCUUGAAAUAUGAAGGAGACAGCGGGCUACAAACCCAGAAAUGAAUGAGGCCAUUCAGGCAGACCCUGCGGCCUGUGUAAUGAAAUCUCGUCCCAACCCAUUUGCAAGCGAGGAGACUGCCGUCAGGUGUGGUGGGGCUACUUGUAAACUUCAUCACCCCAAGGGCUUUGGUUGUUUUCCAGAAGGAACAAAGCUGAGAGAGGGAGUACCCCUUAAGUGUUCCAGAGGCGUGGUGAAGAAGCCAUGCUUCGGGCUUUCCAAACUCGCCGUCUUACUGUCCUCCCUUCCAACGUGCUCCCUGAGUGUUCCUGCCCCUGAGACUGUCUCCUGUCUAAGGAUGGGUCUGCUUUCGAGCUCACUUUUUUAGGAGAGCUCUAUAAGGUAAGACCUACCGACCGCCAUUUGCAAUUGCGGAACUGAGCCUCAGAGCAGAUGAAUCACCUGCCCAAAGUCCCACGACCCAACACAGAGGAAUGGCCUUUGAAUUAAGCCCAUGUCCCUCACCACCAGCACCAUCAAUCUGAGACCCGGCGUGAGACUCAGCCCCCUCCUGGCACAGAAUCCUAAUUCCACCUCCUUCCUCAGACCUUCUGUGACUCCCUCCAUGACCCACCGCCCCUCUGAGGGAGUGCCCAGUGGCAUUUUCCCCAGGAAGACUUCCAAAUCCACCUCAGAGGUCAUCUCCCCAGGUGUCUUGCUGGCUCCUCUCGGCACAGAUUGGGUCUCAGCUGCGAUCCACCUUCCCCCCUCUUUGGGCUUCCCACCACAAGCACCCCUCAGUUGCCAGCCCAGAAAGACCCCUACCCUCUCUCUGACGGCCGGCUCAGGAUUGCUAUAUGAGAGUCCCUACCAGUGACCUCUAAUCUCAGUCUUUCUGUUCCUCAACACAAGAGAUGUUCCUUGUCCAUCCUACCUCUCUCCUUCCCUCUUUUCUUCCCUUAUCCCUCUCGACCUGGCUUUUGUGAACUCCAAGUACACAAAGUUGGUAUAAUCGCAAUUCCCACCAGAUUUUUGACAUGCUUGCCCGAUUGCUCCCUCAAUGGUCUGUUUGUUUUAUAAGGUAACAAUGAAUCCACCACUCAAAAUAAAAUCUGCCUGUAAACCUAUAUCAAACCAAAUGAUCUCCCCAGUGAACUAUGUACUUGCCUCCCCAAACCCAAUGUAACGAUUUUCAUUCAUUUGUUUUUUUAAAUUUAGCUAUAUAGCUUUUCAUUUAUUUAUAUGUAUCCUUUAAAAUUCAUCAAUACGUAUCCAUUAAAAGAACAUUUUAAUUUUAA